rnacentral:rRNA from 1 species
CCCUUAGAUGUUCUGGGCCGCACGCGUGCUACACUGACCGGUGCAACAAGUUUCUUUCCUUGGCUCGAUAGGCCUGGGUAAUCUUUGAACACCGGUCGUGAUGGGGAUAGAUCCUUGCAAUUUUUGAUCUUCAACGAGGAAUUCUUAGUAAAUGCGAGUCAUCAUCUCGCGUUGAUUACGUCCCUGCCCUUUGUACACACCGCCCGUCGCACCUACCGAUUGAAUGGUCCGGUGAAAUCUUCGGACUCUGUGUUUAUUGAUUCGUUUCAAUUUACUACUGGAGAAAGUUGAGUAAACCUUACCAUUUAGAGGAAGGUGAAGUCGUAACA